rnacentral:lncRNA from 1 species
GACACAGCUGAAAGAGAUUGACCCACAACCACUCUAGGGGCCAUCACCUGCCCUUCUUCAGUCCUGGGCGUGAAGGUAGAUUUCUCCCCUAGCCUGUGCGGGAGAGGAGCCCUGGUUUUUCUAACAAGGACUACUGUAGGUUCGCCGAGUUCGAGGGACGCUACGUAUGCAGCGCCUACGCCCGGACACAGGCUUCCGCGUUACCGACACCGCGUGGGGGAGGAGGGCAAGACCCGAGGCUUGCAGAGAUGGGGGGUGCACGGUGGCCACAGUAGGGAAGGUGCGGAGCAUGAUGGUGCUCUGUAGGAGCGCAGACGCUGAAAGGCGCGCUGCUGUGGCUGGGAGAAGAGCGGAGCCAGGAGUUUGUUCCCAAUAUCUUAGUGCUAUGGCAAAAGAAGGGGGAGGAGUAAUUGUGGGGCCCCCCACACACCCGCUGCGGCGAUACACUCACCCUCGCCAAAGUCCUUCCGGAAGUCUAAGUUCGAAGAUGGCGCCGCCUGUCUGGUCGCGGUCUUAUGACGAAAUCUUGUUAGCUGCUCUUCACUGACGCCCCCACCCCAGUGCACAAGGCGCGGCCAGAGUCACCGAGCCCUCCGAAGCCAGCCGAGUUCCAGGGCGUCUUCAGCGGCGCCAGGGACGCUGCAGGGCCUCAUGGGAGUUGCAGUGUCAAAAAGGGGAGAUCGACGCCUGCGCGGCCAACGGGAUCCCACGCGGCCUCGACGGGAGCCGGGAGUAGGCGGACUCCCAGGCCGGGCUCGCGCUCUGGAUCCCUGAAUCCGGCCUUUCCGGCCGGACUGCCGCGCCUGUGGCCGGAAGAGCCAGCUAGACCAGAGAGUCUGUACCUGCAACCCUGGCGGCGUCCGAGCCCAAGGCGGAGUCUGGGAGACAAAGAAGUCCUCGCCGCCGGCCGCUGGAGGAUUCUGCCAGUAGUGAAGUCAGGGAUGGGCCCGAGAGAGCUUGGAAAGAGGACAAGGAAGGGAAGGAGUAGGAGUAGAAAAGCAUGACUUUGGCUGGAGAUGGGGUCUCGUUAUGUUGACCAGGCUGGUCUUGAACACCUGACCUGAAGUGAUCCUCUUGCCUCAGCCUCCCAUAGUGCUGCGAUCACAGGUGUAAGUCACUGAGUUUGGCCAUUAUUCCAUUUCUGUACACAAAAACCUUUCUCAUUCUGUGCUAUAACUAGUUAGCAUUUAAUUGGGUGGAUGUGGUAUAACUAGUGCCUUGUUGAUAUUGAUGCAUAUUUACAUGGUUUUGCUGUUAUAAACAAUGGUCCCUUGCUAUUAUAAAUCACACUGCUAUAAGUAACCUUGCAUCUAAAUUACUUCAAAUGUGUAACUAUAUGGGUAGGAUAAUUUCUAGAAGUGGAAUUGUGAACCAAAGUUUUAGGUGCAUUUGUAAUUUUGAUUUAUAACCAAUCUUUUCACUGAUCUACUUCUCUGCCUCUAAUUUCUACUAGGUGUUUGUUUGUUUGUUUGUUUGUUUUGAGACAGGGUCUUGCUCUGUCACCCAGGCUGGAGGACAGUGGUGCAAUCACGGCUCACUGCAGCCUCAACCUGCCACCUCAGCCUCCUGAAUAGUUGGGGUGUGUGGCAGGUGUAUACCACCACUUCCAGGUUUUUUUGUUGUUGUUGUUUAAUAGAGAUGAGGUCUUGCUAUAUUGCCCAGGCAGGUCUCACACUACUGAGCGCAAGCGAUCCUCCUGCCUAUGCCUCCCAAAGUGCUGGGAUUACAGGUGUGAGUUGCCAUGCCUGGCCCGGUUAUCUUUCUAAAGCAUAAAGCAACCCUGUUGAUCCUCUGCUUAAUUUUGAUGAUUAAGUAGUAUGUUCAAAAUAUAGAAAUCCAUGUAUUGAUAAUGAUCUUUUAAAAAAAGUAAAAGCCAAAAUAUCAGCUACUCAUCCUACACCAUUGAAAGUAGUGACCAUUAAACUGCUCUACCUCUACCUCCACCUCUCUACCUCUCUACCUCUCUACCUCUACCUCUACCCACGGUCUCCCUCUCUUUCCAUGGUCUCCCUCUCAUGUGGAGCCGAAGCUGGACUGUACUGCUGCCAUCUCGGCUCACUGCAACCUCCCUGCCUGAUUCUCCUGCCUCAGCCUGCCGAGUGCCUGCGAUUGCAGGCACGCGCUGCCACGCCUGACUGGUUUUGGUGGAGACGGGGUUUCGCUGUGUUGGCCGGGCCGGUCUCCAGCCCCUAACCGCGAGUGAUCCGCCAGCCUCGGCCUCCCGAGGUGCCGGGAUUGCAGACGGAGUCUCGUUCACUCAGUGCUCAAUGGUGCCCAGGCUGGAGUGCAGUGGCGUGAUCUCGGCUCGCUACAACCUACACCUCCCAGCCGCCUGCCUUGGCCUCCCAAAGUGCCGAGAUUGCAGCCUCUGCCCAGCCGCCACCCCGUCUGGGAAGUGAGGAGUGUCUCUGCCUGGCCGCCCAUCGUCUGGGAUGUGAGGAGCCCCUCUGCCUGGCUGCCCAGUCUGGAAAGUGAGGAGCGUCUCCGCCCGGCCGCCAUCCCAUCUAGGAAGUGAGGAGUGCCUCUUCCCAGCCGCCAUCACAUCUAGGAAGUGAGGAGCGUCUCUGCCCGGCCGCCCAUCGUCUGAGAUGUGGGGAGCGCCUCUGCCCCGCCGCCCCAUCUGGGAUGUGAGGAGCGCCUCUGCCCGGCCGCGACCCCGUCUGGGAGGUGAGGAGCGUCUCUGCCCGGCCGCCCCGUCUGAGAAGUGAGGAGCCACCCCAUCUGGGAAGUGAGGAGCAUCUCCGCCCGGCAGCCACCCCGUCCGGGAGGGAGGUGGGGGGUCAGCCCCCCGCCCGGCCAGCCGCCCCGUCCGGGAGGGAGGUGGGGGGGUCAGCCCCCUGCCCGGCCAGCCGCCCCGUCCGGGAGGUGAGGGGCGCCUCUGCCCGGCCGCCCCUACUGGGAAGUGAGGAGCCCCUCUGCCCGGCCACCACCCCGUCUGGGAGGUGUGCCCAACAGCUCAUUGAGAACGGGCCAGGAUGACAAUGGCGGCUUUGUGGAAUAGAAAGGCGGGAAAGGUGGGGAAAAGAUUGAGAAAUCGGAUGGUUGCCGUGUCUCUGUAGAAAGAAGUAGACAUGGGAGACUUUUCAUUUUGUUCUGCACUAAGAAAAAUUCUUCUGCCUUGGGAUCCUGUUGAUCUGUGACCUUACCCCCAACCCUGUGCUCUCUGAAACAUGUGCUGUGUCCACUCAGGGUUAAAUGGAUUAAGGGCGGUGCAAGAUGUGCUUUGUUAAACAGAUGCUUGAAGGCAGCAUGCUCGUUAAGAGUCAUCACCAAUCCCUAAUCUCAAGUAAUCAGGGACACAAACACUGCGGAAGGCCGCAGGGUCCUCUGCCUAGGAAAACCAGAGACCUUUGUUCACUUGUUUAUCUGCUGACCUUCCCUCCACUGUUGUCCCAUGACCCUGCCAAAUCCCCCUCUGUGAGAAACACCCAAGAAUUAGCAAUAAAAAAAUAAAUUAAAAAAUAAAAAAAUAAAAAAAUAAAAAAAACUCAUUAAGCUCUAAAAAAAAAAAAAAAAAAGAAAGAAAAAAAGAAAGUAGUGACCAAUUCCUGAAAAUUGGCAAAAAAAAAAAAAAGGCAAGAGUAAGGCAUUUAUCUUGUCUUUCCAGUAUGAACUCUAGUUCAAAAUAACUGAUGAGAGGAAGGUUUUGUUUGUUUUUUGAGACUGAGUCUCACUCUGUCGCCCAGGCUGGAGUGCAGUGGCGCGAUCUCGGCUCACUGCAACCUCUGCCUCCCAGGUUCAAGCAAUUCUUGUGCCUCAGCCUCCUGAGUAGCUGGGAUUACAGGCGCCCGCCACCACUCCCGGCUAAUUUUUGUAUUUUUUUAGUAGAGACGGGGUUUCACCAUGUUGGCGAGGCUGGUCUUGAACUCCUGACCUCAGGUGAUCCGCACACCUAAGCCUCCCAACGUGCUGGGAUUACGGGUGUGAGCCAUUGCCCAGCCCGGGAUUUUUUUUUUUUUUUAUAGAUUAACAGCUAGUAAUUGUGCAAAGAAUGAUAGAAAAAAAUCACUAUUUUGCAUGUCCCAGUGAAAUAAUUCAGGCAACAAUCACCAGUGGAUGAAAUCCCUAAAGAGCUUUUAGGAAGCUUUAAAAUGCCUGGACCCACUCAUCACUGAACAUGAAACCACCAGUCAUUGUUUGCCUCCUGAUGUGAGGCAAUAUAAAGCACACAGAACCACUUAUUAAACAUUCUUGCCCAAAAAAUUGAAUAGGAAUACAGGACUUAGGGGCCAGGCGUGGUGGCUCACACCUGUAAUCCCAGCACUUUGGGAGGCCAAGGAGGGCGGAUAAUCUGAGGUCAGGAGUUCAAGACCAGCCUGGCC